rnacentral:tRNA from 1 species
GCCUUGUUAGCUCAGUCGGUAGAGCAUCAGACUUUUAAUCUGAGGGUCGUGGGUUCGAGCCCCACAUAGGGCG